rnacentral:rRNA from 1 species
CCUACGGGAGGCAGCAGUGAGGAAUAUUGGUCAAUGGGCGCAAGCCUGAACCAGCCAAGUCGCGUGAGGGAAGACGGCCCUACGGGUUGUAAACCUCUUUUGCCGGGGAGCAAGCCUGAGCACGUGUGCCCAGGCGGAGAGUACCCGGAGAAAAAGCAUCGGCUAACUCCGUGCCAGCAGCCGCGGUAAUACGGAGGAUGCGAGCGUUAUCCGGAUUUAUUGGGUUUAAAGGGUGCGCAGGCGGGCUGUUAAGCCGGCGGUAAAAAUUCAGGGAGCAACCCUGUCGAGCCGUCGGAACUGGCAGUCUUGAGUGGGCGAGAAGUAUGCGGAAUGCGUGGUGUAGCGGUGAAAUGCAUAGAUAUCACGCAGAACUCCGAUUGCGAAGGCAGCAUGCCGGCGCUCAACUGACGCGCAUGCACGAAAGUGUGGGUAUCGAACAGGAUUAGAUACCCCGGUAGUC